UAACGCGUGGGAAUCUGCCCUGGAGUGGGGGAUAACCCGGCGAAAGCCGGGCUAAUACCCCAUACGCCCCGGAGCAAUCCGGGGGAAAGAUUUAUCGCUCCUGGAGGGGCCCGCGUCGGAUUAGGUAGUUGGUGGGGUAACGGCCUACCAAGCCUAUGAUCCGUAGCUGGUCUGAGAGGAUGAUCAGCCACACUGGGACUGAGACACGGCCCAGACUCCUACGGGAGGGAGCAGUGGGGAAUAUUGGACAAUGGGGGGAACCCUGAUCCAGCAAUGCCGCGUGAGUGAUGAAGGCCUUAGGGUUGU
rnacentral:rRNA from 1 species